rnacentral:lncRNA from 1 species
GAAACAAUAGGAUUUCUUCUCUUGUUCCAGAGUAAACCUCAUAUAAAUAAGCAAGCUCACAAGCAAGUAUUCCUUCUCAGGGAUAUCUUUGGUACAGCAGUGUUCCUUGUAUUUAAUAUGGUGACUGUUGCCCUUACACAGACUGGUGGUAGAGCUGUGGCAUAGUGGGCUGGAGGGAUCAUCAGUGGAUAACUGUGAAACUGGAAUUCUAAAAACCAAGAGAAAAUUUCUGAGAAGGUUCUGUUAAAGUAGGAAAUGUUCCUCUGUCAUUAUUUGAAGAAGUUUCAGUUGAGACCAACAGGAGAAUGUGGAAAUUGGCAAAGACCAGUCCCAUGGAGUAAGAUAAUAGAGUAGAAUGCACAUUCUUUCAUUGCUAAUAGCAGCUUUAUCCAAAUGUGAUGUGCUGUUUCUUUCUUACGGAGUAAACAAUCAGAUCUUGGUAGGGAAAAUUAUACAGCUGGCCCAUGCAUGCAUACUCAAAGGGCCUGGCCUAAGGGGUGGUGGUAUACCAGCUGUAAAGCAUGGAUUCUGUCUUCUAACACUCUUUGAAACUUUGAUUGCCAGAUUUUUAAGACAGUAACUUCUCUUUUCCUAGAUGGAGGUUGAGGAAAAUUGAAGAAAGAAAUACUGUCUGGGAACCAGUUUCAUUUAAUUUUCUCUUUUCAUUCUUGUAACUGCCCAAGUGGAAGCAUUUGCUGCUCUGGGAAGGAAAGGAUUUCCCCAUGGAAGACAGCUUUUUGGCAAGUCAAUAAGUUUCUAACCUGCCAAAUAGUUGUGGUGGCGUUGUCCCAGGAAAGCAUUCAGUACUUCUGUUUUGGAGAACUGAAAACAGAACUCAAAUACAGUACAAAGUUAAGACAAGAACCUUUUGCAGCUUCAACAACAUCUCUUCAGCUAAGUACCUACUUAAUUGAAAAACAGUGCAGUGUGUGGGGGAAGAAAAACCACUCUACCCAAACCUUUCUCUAUGCAGGCUGAGAAAGUGAGCUACAGAUGGAUUCCAGAGGCAUCGUUUCUCAUGGAUCAUUCUUCACUGCUAUUCCUUUAGUCUUAGGAGCACUUUAGCAGCAGGUUUGACAAACAGCUCAUCUCCUGCAUUAUGUUGGGCCAAAACCUGUGAAGGUUUAAAGCUUGAACUUGUGAACUCAGUGACUGGUGCUAUGGUCUGCAGUAUUGCUGGCAGAUAGGAGGAAAUGGACAUUCCACCUAGUAGCAGAGAGCAGG